rnacentral:rRNA from 1 species
GUGCAGCAGGCGAGAAUACUUUACAAUGUGCGAAAGCACGAUAAGGGAACUCUGAGUGCCUCCUAAGGAGGCUGUUCAGGUGUCUAAAAGCACCUGGAGUAAGGGCUGGGUAAGACCGGUGCCAGCCGCCGCGGUAACACCGGCAGCCCAGGUGGUAGCCACUUUUAUUGGGUCUAAAGCGUCCGUAGCCGGUUGAGUAAGUUCCUUGGGAAAUUUGGCUGCUCAACAGUCAAGCUUCCAGGGAAUACUGCUCGACUUGGGGACUGGGAGAGGUCAGAGGUACUCCAGGGGUAGGGUGAAAAUCCAUUAAUCCCUGGGGGACCACCGGUAGCGAAGGCGUCUGACCAGACCAGGUCCGACGGUGAGGGACGAAGGCUAGGGGCGCGAACCGGAUUAGAUA